GACGUAGGGCGCGAGCGUUGUCCGGAUUUAUUGGGCGUAAAGAGCUCGUAGGCGGCUUGUCGCGUCGACUGUGAAAACCCGCGGCUUAACCUCGGGCCUGCAGUCGAUACGGGCAGACUAGAGUUCGGUAGGGGAGACUGGAAUUCCUGGUGUAGCGGUGAAAUGCGCAGAUAUCAGGAGGAACACCGGUGGCGAAGGCGGGUCUCUGGGCCGAUACUGACGCUGAGGAGCGAAAGCGUGGGGAGCGAACAGG
rnacentral:rRNA from 1 species